rfam:Schistosoma margrebowiei strain Zambia genome assembly, scaffold: SMRZ_scaffold0002029
AGCCUUCUGUAUCCGUGCUGAGAUUUCGUCACACACCAGACCACGAAAUCUCAGCACGGAUACAGAAGGCU